rnacentral:rRNA from 1 species
GUACACAAAAAUGCACAUACUGUGAGCUCGAUGAGUAGGGCGGGACACGUGGUAUCCUGUCUGAAUAUGGGGGGACCAUCCUCCAAGGCUAAAUACUCCUGACUGACCGAUAGUGAACCAGUACCGUGAGGGAAAGGCGAAAAGAACCCCGGCGAGGGGAGUGAAAAAGAACCUGAAACCGUGUACGUACAAGCAGUGGGAGCCUCUUAAUGGGGUGACUGCGUACCUUUUGUAUAAUGGGUCAGCGACUUAUAUUCUGUAGCAAGGUUAACCGAAUAGGGGAGCCGAAGGGAAACCGAGUCUUAACUGGGCGUUAAGUUGCAGGGUAUAGACCCGAAACCCGGUGAUCUAGCCAUGGGCAGGUUGAAGGUUGGGUAACACUAACUGGAGGACCGAACCGACUAAUGUUGAAAAAUUAGCGGAUGACUUGUGGCUGGGGGUGAAAGGCCAAUCAAACCGGGAGAUAGCUGGUUCUCCCCGAAAGCUAUUUAGGUAGCGCCUCGUGAAUUCAUCUCCGGGGGUAGAGCACUGUUUCGGCAAGGGGGUCAUCCCGACUUACCAACCCGAUGCAAACUGCGAAUACCGGAGAAUGUUAUCACGGGAGACACACGGCGGGUGCUAACGUCCGUCGUGAAGAGGGAAACAACCCAGACCGCCAGCUAAGGUCCCAAAGUCAUGGUUAAGUGGGAAACGAUGUGGGAAGGCCCAGACAGCCAGGAUGUUGGCUUAGAAGCAGCCAUCAUUUAAAGAAAGCGUAAUAGCUCACUGGUCGAGUCGGCCUGCGCGGAAGAUGUAACGGGGCUAAACCAUGCACCGAAGCUGCGGCAGCGACACUAUGUGUUGUUGGGUAGGGGAGCGUUCUGUAAGCCUGUGAAGGU